CCGCUGAACUUAAGCAUAUCAAUAAGCGGAGGAAAAGAAACCAACAGGGAUUGCCCUAGUAACGGCGAGUGAAGCGGCAACAGCUCAAAUUUGAAAUCUGGCUUCGGCCCGAGUUGUAAUUUGUAGAGGAAGCUUUUGGUGAGGCACCUUCUGAGUCCCCUGGAACGGGGCGCCAUAGAGGGUGAGAGCCCCGUAUAGUCGGAUGCCGAUCCAAUGUAAAGCUCCUUCGACGAGUCGAGUAGUUUGGGAAUGCUGCUCAAAAUGGGAGGUAAAUUUCUUCUAAAGCUAAAUACCGGCCAGAGACCGAUAGCGCACAAGUAGAGUGAUCGAAAGAUGAAAAGCACUUUGAAAAGAGGGUUAAAUAGCACGUGAAAUUGU
rnacentral:rRNA from 1 species